GAUGAACGCUGGCGGCGUGCCUAAUACAUGCAAGUCGAGCGAACGGACGAGAAGCUUGCUUCUCUGAUGUUAGCGGCGGACGGGUGAGUAACACGUGGAUAACCUACCUAUAAGACUGGGAUAACUUCGGGAAACCGGAGCUAAUACCGGAUAAUAUUUUGAACCGCAUGGUUCAAAAGUGAAAGACGGUCUUGCUGUCACUUAUAGAUGGAUCCGCGCUGCAUUAGCUAGUUGGUAAGGUAACGGCUUACCAAGGCAACGAUGCAUAGCCGACCUGAGAGGGUGAUCGGCCACACUGGAACUGAGACACGGUCCAGACUCCUACGGGAGGCAGCAGUAGGGAAUCUUCCGCAAUGGGCGAAAGCCUGACGGAGCAACGCCGCGUGAGUGAUGAAGGUCUUCGGAUCGUAAAACUCUGUUAUUAGGGAAGAACAUAUGUGUAAGUAACUGUGCACAUCUUGACGGUACCUAAUCAGAAAGCCACGGCUAACUACGUGCCAGCAGCCGCGGUAAUACGUAGGUGGCAAGCGUUAUCCGGAAUUAUUGGGCGUAAAGCGCGCGUAGGCGGUUUUUUAAGUCUGAUGUGAAAGCCCACGGCUCACCCGUGGAGGGUCAUUGGAAACUGGAAAACUUGAGUGCAGAAGAGGAAAGUGGAAUUCCAUGUGUAGCGGUGAAAUGCGCAGAGAUAUGGAGGAACACCAGUGGCGAAGGCGACUUUCUGGUCUGUAACUGACGCUGAUGUGCGAAAGCGUGGGGAUCAAACAGGAUUAGAUACCCUGGUAGUCCACGCCGUAAACGAUGAGUGCUAAGUGUUAGGGGGUUUCCGCCCCUUAGUGCUGCAGCUAACGCAUUAAGCACUCCGCCUGGGGAGUACGACCGCAAGGUUGAAACUCAAAGGAAUUGACGGGGACCCGCACAAGCGGUGGAGCAUGUAGUUUAAUUCGAAGCAACGCGAAGAACCUUACCAAAUCUUGACAUCCUUUGACAACUCUAGAGAUAGAGCUUUCCCCUUCGGGGGACAAAGUGACAGGUGGUGCAUGGUUGUCGUCAGCUCGUGUCGUGAGAUGUUGGGUUAAGUCCCGCAACGAGCGCAACCCUUAAGCUUAGUUGCCAUCAUUAAGUUGGGCACUCUAAGUUGACUGCCGGUGACAAACCGGAGGAAGGUGGGGAUGACGUCAAAUCAUCAUGCCCCUUAUGAUUUGGGCUACGCACGUGCUACAAUGGACAAUACAAAGGGCAGCGAAACCGUGAGGUCAAGCAAAUCCCAUAAAGUUGUUCUCAGUUCGGAUUGUAGUCUGCAACUCGACUACAUGAAGCUGGAAUCGCUAGUAAUCGUAGAUCAGCAUGCUACGGUGAAUACGUUCCCGGGUCU
rnacentral:rRNA from 1 species